rnacentral:tRNA from 1 species
UUCUGGAUAGUGCAAAUGGUUAACACACUUGGCUGCUAACCAGUAAGUUUGAGGUUUGAAUCCAUACAGAAA